CAGUCCUCCACAUCAACUUGCUUUGAAGA
rnacentral:sRNA from 1 species